rnacentral:rRNA from 1 species
CCGAGUCUUAACUGGGCGUUAAGUUGCAGGGUAUAGACCCGAAACCCGGUGAUCUAGCCAUGGGCAGGUUGAAGGUUGGGUAACACUAACUGGAGGACCGAACCGACUAAUGUUGAAAAAUUAGCGGAUGACUUGUGGCUGGGGGUGAAAGGCCAAUCAAACCGGGAGAUAGCUGGUUCUCCCCGAAAGCUAUUUAGGUAGCGCCUCGUGAACUCAUCUUCGGGGGUAGAGCACUGUUUCGGCUAGGGGGUCAUCCCGACUUACCAACCCGAUGCAAACUACGAAUACCGAAGAAUGUUAUCACGGGAGACACACGGCGGGUGCUAACGUCCGUCGUGAAGAGGGAAACAACCCAGACCGCCAGCUAAGGUCCCAAAGUCAUGGUUAAGUGGGAAACGAUGUGGGAAGGCACAGACAGCCAGGAUGUUGGCUUAGAAGCAGCCAUCAUUUAAAGAAAGCGUAAUAGCUCACUGGUCGAGUCGGCCUGCGCGGAAGAUGUAACGGGGCUAAACCAUGCACCGAAGCUGCGGCAGCGACACUAUGUGUUGUUGGGUAGGGGAGCG